rnacentral:rRNA from 1 species
AUUGAACGCUGGCGGCAGGCCUAACACAUGCAAGUCGAGCGGAUGAAGGGAGCUUGGUCUUGGAUUCAGCGGCGGACGGGUGAGUAAUGCCUAGGAAUCUGCCUGGUAGUGGGGGAUAACGUCCGGAAACGGGCGCUAAUACCGCAUACGUCCUGAGGGGGAAAGUGGGGGAUCUUCGGACCUCACGCUAUCAGAUGAGCCUAGGUCGGAUUAGCUAGUUGGUGGGGUAAAGGCCUACCAAGGCGACGAUCCGUAACUGGUCUGAGAGGAUGAUCAGUCACACUGGAACUGAGACACGGUCCAGACUCCUACGGGAGGCAGCAGUGGGGAAUAUUGGACAAUGGGCGAAAGCCUGAUCCAGCCAUGCCGCGUGUGGGAAGAAGGUCUUCGGAUUGUAAAGCACUUUAGGUUGGAAGGAAGGGCAGUAAGUUAAUACCUUGCGGUAUUGACGUUACCAACAGAAUAAGCACCGGCUAACUACGUG